rnacentral:tRNA from 1 species
GGACUGUGGCUCAGUGGUAGAGUACUUGCCUAGCAUGUGUGAAGCACUGGGUUCAAUUCUCAGCACCA